rnacentral:rRNA from 1 species
GACGAACGCUGGCGGCGUGCUUAACACAUGCAAGUCGAACGGAAAGGCCCUGCUUUUGUGGGGUGCUCGAGUGGCGAACGGGUGAGUAACACGUGAGUAACCUGCCCUUGACUUUGGGAUAACUUCAGGAAACUGGGGCUAAUACCGGAUAGGAGCUCCUGCUGCAUGGUGGGGGUUGGAAAGUUUCGGCGGUUGGGGAUGGACUCGCGGCUUAUCAGCUUGUUGGUGGGGUAGUGGCUUACCAAGGCUUUGACGGGUAGCCGGCCUGAGAGGGUGACCGGCCACAUUGGGACUGAGAUACGGCCCAGAAUCCUACGGGAGGCAGCAGUGGGGAAUCUUGCACAAUGGGCGGAAGCCUGAUGCAGCAACGCCGCGUGCGGGAUGACGGCCUUCGGGUUGUAAACCGCUUUCGCCUGUGACGAAGCGUGAGUGACGGUAAUGGGUAAAGAAGCACCGGCUAACUACGUG